rnacentral:piRNA from 1 species
UGCUCGAGCAGGACUAUCAUGAAUGGGA